GCAGCCUCCGAACUAGAACACAGCCGAUUCCUAAUAGAAUUUCCGUUCUUGCAUCAUCCAAAACUGAGGUUCAGCAUGUGGGUUAUACGUACUCUAAUCCUCCCGUGUGCAGCCAGCUUAACAAAUUCUGUUUCCAGUGAGCUGUCUCUUUGAAUGCCGGUAUUCCACGUAGACUUCUCUUCAGGGCUUCAUGUGGAAUCGCCCAACUUCCAGUUGGUAGAUCUGGUGAAGAUUACUUUUUCUUUAUUUGUUUCCAUUUACAGUAGUCAGCCUUUUCUCACCUUGGACUUUAUAUUUCCAGUAGCACAUCAAAACACUGUUUGAAUAACAAAAAUUCAUGUUUUUUGUAGCGGUGCUGAUACUGUUAUACCUCCUGGUGCUCUGGUGGCUGCUGCUGAGCUUUCUAGAUCUUCCUCUCUGUCAGUCAGCAGUUUGUUGGAAGAGAAGGGCUGUCAGAUUCCUGUACUAAGACAACCAGCAUUACCAAGUCUUCUGGGCCCCCAAGGGCAAUCAAUGCCCACGACUGGUCAUCCAACGAGAGCCAGUACACCUCGCUCAGCGGGUGGCAGACCAGGCUGGGACCUGUAAGUGUUCUGCAGAAAUUCAGUAUAUUACUGCUCGUAACCUGUUAAAUGAGGCCGUAGCACGUAACUUAGAUAACAGCUGAUUUAUAAUGAGAAGUUCCAGUUGAGGACGCCUGCGUGGUGAACGUACCCAGAGGACCCAAGCCCCAACGCUACCAGCAUCAACAGCAGUCUUCGUGCCAGCACCUCCGCCUUCCUUGUACCCUCCACCACCCCAAGCACUUCCUCUUCUACCGGGGGCACUACGACCACAGUUUCCUCCCCAGUUUCCACCUGGUCAGCCGCCAUCUGCCAGCUACACUGACUCCCCUCCAGGAUAUCCCCCAGCUCCUGCAAACACGUCAUCAGCCUGGGUACCAACAGCAGUACCAACGGCGCAUUCCGAUCCCAUCCCAGUGACACAAGCUCCUCCUUUAUCUAGGGAGGAGUUUUACAGAGAACACCAGCGACUGGAAGAGGAGUAAGUACUUGGCUCAAGGAAGUUGUGUUUGUUCUUUUUCAUUUUUGUAUUUUGAGAGCGUACUGGACUGCAGUUACGCUGAAGUGCAUCUGACAUAAGCAAAAAUGACAUAGUAUUUUUUUCAACAGGCUUUUUUCUUGCAGACGGCAAACGUGCAAAACUAAAAGAAGACAAAUGUAAUUCUAAAACUGUCCCUUCAACUUACAGGAAUUCUAAACUGGUUUUGCUUAAAUAGGAC